AAAAAAUUCACCUGGGGUCUUAUUAAAAUGCAGAUUCUGAUUCAAGAGGCCUGGGGAGGGCCUGAGAGUCUGCAUUUCUAACAAGCUUGCAGGUGGUGCUAGU
rnacentral:pre_miRNA from 1 species